AGUGAACGCUGGCGGUAGGCCUAACACAUGCAAGUCGAACGGCAGCACAGUAAGAGCUUGCUCUUACGGGUGGCGAGUGGCGGACGGGUGAGGAAUACAUCGGAAUCUACUUUUUCGUGGGGGAUAACGUAGGAAAACUGACGCUAAUACCGCAUACGACCUACGGGUGAAAGCAGGGGAUCUUCGGACCUUGCGCGAUUGACUGAGCCGAUGUCGGAUUAGCUAGUUGGCGGGGUAAAGGCCCACCAAGGCGAGGAUCCGUAGCUGGUCUGAGAGGAGGGUCAGCCACACUGGAACUGGGAAACGGUCCAGACUCCUACGGGAGGCAGCAGUGGGGAAUAUUGGACAAUGGGCGCAAGCCUGAUCCAGCCAGCCCGCGUGGUUGAAGAAGGCCUUCGGGUUGUAAAGCCCUUUUGUUGGGAAAGAAAAGCAGCAGGUUAAUACCCUGCUGUUCUGACGGUACCCAAAGAAUAAGCACCGGCUAACUUCGUG
rnacentral:rRNA from 1 species